AACGAACGCUGGCGGCAUGCCUAACACAUGCAAGUCGAACGAGACCUUCGGGUCUAGUGGCGCACGGGUGCGUAACGCGUGGGAACCUGCCUUUAGGUUCGGAAUAACUCAGAGAAAUUUGAGCUAAUACCGGAUAAUGUCUUCGGACCAAAGAUUUAUCGCCUUUAGAUGGGCCCGCGUAAGAUUAGCUAGUUGGUGGGGUAAAGGCCUACCAAGGCGACGAUCUUUAGCUGGUCUGAGAGGAUGAUCAGCCACACUGGGACUGAGACACGGCCCAGACUCCUACGGGAGGCAGCAGUGGGGAAUAUUGGACAAUGGGCGAAAGCCUGAUCCAGCAAUGCCGCGUGAGUGAUGAAGGCCUUAGGGUUGUAAAGCUCUUUUACCCGAGAUGAUAAUGACAGUAUCGGGAGAAUAAGCUCCGGCUAAACUCCGUGCCAGCAGCCGCGGU
rnacentral:rRNA from 1 species